GACGAACGCUGGCGGCGUGCUUAACACAUGCAAGUCGAACGGAAAGGCCCUGCUUUUGUGGGGUGCUCGAGUGGCGAACGGGUGAGUAACACGUGAGUAACCUGCCCUUGACUUUGGGAUAACUUCAGGAAACUGGGGCUAAUACCGGAUAGGAGCUCCUGCUGCAUGGUGGGGGUUGGAAAGUUUCGGCGGUUGGGGAUGGACUCGCGGCUUAUCAGCUUGUUGGUGGGGUAGUGGCUUACCAAGGCUUUGACGGGUAGCCGGCCUGGGAGGGUGACCGGCCAGAUUGGGACUGAGAUACGGCCCAGACUCCUACGGGAGGCAGCAGUGGGGAAUAUUGCACAAUGGGCGGAAGCCUGAUGCAGCAACGCCGCGUGCGGGAUGACGGCCUUCGGGUUGUAAACCGCUUUCGCCUGUGACGAAGCGUGAGUGACGGUAAUGGGUAAAGAAGCACCGGCUAACUACGUG
rnacentral:rRNA from 1 species